UACAGAGGUGGCAAGCGUUGUUCGGAAUUACUGGGCGUAAAGGGCGCGUAGGCGGCCCGUCAAGUCCCGUGUGAAAGCCCACGGCUCAACCGUGGAGGGUCAUUGGAAACUGGGGGACUUGAGUGCAGAAGAGGAAAGCGGAAUUCCACGUGUAGCGGUGAAAUGCGUAGAGAUGUGGAGGAACACCAGUGGCGAAGGCGGCUUUCUGGUCUGUAACUGACGCUGAGGCGCGAAAGCGUGGGGAGCAAACAGG
rnacentral:rRNA from 1 species